CUUGAAGAUGGAGUACAGGGUGCCUGGCUGGCUGGAAGAGCAACAGGACCAUGGACAGUGAGGAUAAUUCAUUGGAAUUAACUAUCCAAAGACGAGGUAGAUUCUCCAUCUGCUGAUGUUUUCAGAUCAAGACUGGAUGCCUAGAGCUGAAAUAACAAGGAGAAUGCACAUCAUAUUUAGGCUACUGUGACAAAGUGACAUGGAACCUUUCCUAACAG